GCUUAACACAUGCAAGUCGAGGGGCAGCGGGGAGGAAGCUUGCUUUCUCCGCCGGCGACCGGCGCACGGGUGAGUAACACGUAUGCAACCUGCCCCUGUCAGGGGGACAACCCGCCGAAAGGCGGGCUAAACCCGCGUACAUGCCACCGGGGCAUCCCGGAGGCAGGAAAGGCUUCGGCCGGACAGGGAUGGGCAUGCGGCGCAUUAGGCAGUAGGCGGGGUAACGGCCCACCUAACCGACGAUGCGUAGGGGUUCUGAGAGGAAGGUCCCCCACACUGGUACUGAGACACGGACCAGACUCCUACGGGAGGCAGCAGUGAGGAAUAUUGGUCAAUGGUCGGGAGACUGAACCAGCCAAGCCGCGUGAGGGAGGAAGGUACAGAGUAUCGUAAACCUCUUUUGUCAGGGAACAAAGACUGGGACGCGUCCCCGGAUGAGUGUACCUGAAGAAAAAGCAUCGGCUAACUCCGUGCCAGCAGCCGCGGUAAUACGGAGGAUGCGAGCGUUAUCCGGAUUUAUUGGGUUUAAAGGGUGCGCAGGCGGUCUGUUAAGUCAGCGGUCAAAGCCCGGGGCUCAACCCCGGCCCGCCGUUGAAACUGGCAGUCUCGAGUUGGAGAGAAGUAUGCGGAAUGCGCGGUGUAGCGGUGAAAUGCAUAGAUAUCGCGCAGAACUCCGAUUGCGAAGGCAGCAUGCCGGCUCCACACUGACGCUGAGGCACGAAAGCGUGGGUAUCGAACAGGAUUAGAUACCCUGGUAGUCCACGCAGUAAACGAUGAAUGCUGGCUGUCCGGGGGGGACUGACCCCUGGGUGGCGAAGCGAAAGCGAUAAGCAUUCCACCUGGGGAGUACGCCGGCAACGGUGAAACUCAAAGGAAUUGACGGGGGCCCGCACAAGCGGAGGAACAUGUGGUUUAAUUCGAUGAUACGCGAGGAACCUUACCCGGGCUCAAACGGGGAGUGACUCAGGCAGAGACGCCUGUUUCCCACGGGACACUCCCCGAGGUGCUGCAUGGUUGUCGUCAGCUCGUGCCGUGAGGUGUCGGCUUAAGUGCCAUAACGAGCGCAACCCCCGCGUGCAGUUGCUAACAGAUAACGCUGAGGACUCUGCACGGACUGCCGGCGCAAGCCGCGAGGAAGGCGGGGAUGACGUCAAAUCAGCACGGCCCUUACGUCCGGGGCGACACACGUGUUACAAUGGGUGGUACAGCGGGAAGCCAGGCGGCGACGCCGAGCGGAACCCGAAAUCCACUCUCAGUUCGGAUCGGAGUCUGCAACCCGACUCCGUGAAGCUGGAUUCGCUAGUAAUCGCGCAUCAGCCAUGGCGCGGUGAAUACGUUCCCGGGCCUUGUACACACCGCCCGUCAAGCCAUGGGAGCCGAGGGCGCUUGAA
rnacentral:rRNA from 1 species